rnacentral:rRNA from 2 species
UUAAGCGACUAAGCGUACACGGUGGAUGCCCUGGCAGUCAGAGGCGAUGAAGGACGUGCUAAUCUGCGAUAAGCGUCGGUGAGGUGAUAUGAACCGUUAUAACCGGCGAUUUCCGAAUGGGGAAACCCAGUGUGUUUCGACACACUAUCAUUAACUGAAUCCAUAGGUUAAUGAGGCGAACCGGGGGAACUGAAACAUCUAAGUACCCCGAGGAAAAGAAAUCAACCGAGAUUCCCCCAGUAGCGGCGAGCGAACGGGGAGGAGCCCAGAGCCUGAAUCAGUGUGUGUGUUAGUGGAAGCGUCUGGAAAGGCGCGCGAUACAGGGUGACAGCCCCGUACACAAAAAUGCACAUAUUGUGAGCUCGAUGAGUAGGGCGGGACACGUGGUAUCCUGUCUGAAUAUGGGGGGACCAUCCUCCAAGGCUAAAUACUCCUGACUGACCGAUAGUGAACCAGUACCGUGAGGGAAAGGCGAAAAGAACCCCGGCGAGGGGAGUGAAAAAGAACCUGAAACCGUGUACGUACAAGCAGUGGGAGCCUCUUAAUGGGGUGACUGCGUACCUUUUGUAUAAUGGGUCAGCGACUUAUAUUCUGUAGCAAGGUUAACCGAAUAGGGGAGCCGAAGGGAAACCGAGUCUUAACUGGGCGUUAAGUUGCAGGGUAUAGACCCGAAACCCGGUGAUCUAGCCAUGGGCAGGUUGAAGGUUGGGUAACACUAACUGGAGGACCGAACCGACUAAUGUUGAAAAAUUAGCGGAUGACUUGUGGCUGGGGGUGAAAGGCCAAUCAAACCGGGAGAUAGCUGGUUCUCCCCGAAAGCUAUUUAGGUAGCGCCUCGUGAAUUCAUCUCCGGGGGUAGAGCACUGUUUCGGCAAGGGGGUCAUCCCGACUUACCAACCCGAUGCAAACUGCGAAUACCGGAGAAUGUUAUCACGGGAGACACACGGCGGGUGCUAACGUCCGUCGUGAAGAGGGAAACAACCCAGACCGCCAGCUAAGGUCCCAAAGUCAUGGUUAAGUGGGAAACGAUGUGGGAAGGCCCAGACAGCCAGGAUGUUGGCUUAGAAGCAGCCAUCAUUUAAAGAAAGCGUAAUAGCUCACUGGUCGAGUCGGCCUGCGCGGAAGAUGUAACGGGGCUAAACCAUGCACCGAAGCUGCGGCAGCGACACUAUGUGUUGUUGGGUAGGGGAGCGUUCUGUAAGCCUGUGAAGGUGUACUGUGAGGUAUGCUGGAGGUAUCAGAAGUGCGAAUGCUGACAUAAGUAACGAUAAAGCGGGUGAAAAGCCCGCUCGCCGGAAGACCAAGGGUUCCUGUCCAACGUUAAUCGGGGCAGGGUGAGUCGACCCCUAAGGCGAGGCCGAAAGGCGUAGUCGAUGGGAAACAGGUUAAUAUUCCUGUACUUGGUGUUACUGCGAAGGGGGGACGGAGAAGGCUAUGUUGGCCGGGCGACGGUUGUCCCGGUUUAAGCGUGUAGGCUGGUUUUCCAGGCAAAUCCGGAAAAUCAAGGCUGAGGCGUGAUGACGAGGCACUACGGUGCUGAAGCGACAAAUGCCCUGCUUCCAGGAAAAGCCUCUAAGCAUCAGGUAACAUCAAAUCGUACCCCAAACCGACACAGGUGGUCAGGUAGAGAAUACCAAGGCGCUUGAGAGAACUCGGGUGAAGGAACUAGGCAAAAUGGUGCCGUAACUUCGGGAGAAGGCACGCUGAUAUGUAGGUGAAGCGACUUGCUCGUGGAGCUGAAAUCAGUCGAAGAUACCAGCUGGCUGCAACUGUUUAUUAAAAACACAGCACUGUGCAAACACGAAAGUGGACGUAUACGGUGUGACGCCUGCCCGGUGCCGGAAGGUUAAUUGAUGGGGUUAGCGGUAACGCGAAGCUCUUGAUCGAAGCCCCGGUAAACGGCGGCCGUAACUAUAACGGUCCUAAGGUAGCGAAAUUCCUUGUCGGGUAAGUUCCGACCUGCACGAAUGGCGUAAUGAUGGCCAGGCUGUCUCCACCCGAGACUCAGUGAAAUUGAACUCGCUGUGAAGAUGCAGUGUACCCGCGGCAAGACGGAAAGACCCCGUGAACCUUUACUAUAGCUUGACACUGAACAUUGAGCCUUGAUGUGUAGGAUAGGUGGGAGGCUUUGAAGUGUGGACGCCAGUCUGCAUGGAGCCGACCUUGAAAUACCACCCUUUAAUGUUUGAUGUUCUAACGUGGGCCCCUUACCGGGGUUGCGGACAGUGUCUGGUGGGUAGUUUGACUGGGGCGGUCUCCUCCUAAAGAGUAACGGAGGAGCACGAAGGUUGGCUAAUCCUGGUCGGACAUCAGGAGGUUAGUGCAAUGGCAUAAGCCAGCUUGACUGCGAGCGUGACGGCGCGAGCAGGUGCGAAAGCAGGUCAUAGUGAUCCGGUGGUUCUGAAUGGAAGGGCCAUCGCUCAACGGAUAAAAGGUACUCCGGGGAUAACAGGCUGAUACCGCCCAAGAGUUCAUAUCGACGGCGGUGUUUGGCACCUCGAUGUCGGCUCAUCACAUCCUGGGGCUGAAGUAGGUCCCAAGGGUAUGGCUGUUCGCCAUUUAAAGUGGUACGCGAGCUGGGUUUAGAACGUCGUGAGACAGUUCGGUCCCUAUCUGCCGUGGGCGCUGGAGAACUGAGGGGGGCUGCUCCUAGUACGAGAGGACCGGAGUGGACGCAUCACUGGUGUUCGGGUUGUCAUGCCAAUGGCACUGCCCGGUAGCUAAAUGCGGAAGAGAUAAGUGCUGAAAGCAUCUAAGCACGAAACUUGCCCCGAGAUGAGUUCUCCCUGACUCCUUGAGAGUCCUGAAGGAACGUUGAAGACGACGACGUUGAUAGGCCGGGUGUGUAAGCGCAGCGAUGCGUUGAGCUAACCGGUACUAAUGAACCGUGAGGCUUAACCU